rnacentral:rRNA from 1 species
CGAUCUGGCUCAGACGAACGCUGGCGGCGUGCCUAACACAUGCAAGUCGAACGGAGUAUCGAGAGCUUGCUUUGAUACUUAGUGGCGGACGGGUGAGUAAUACAUGAGCAACCUGCCCUGAAGAGGGGGACAACAGUUGGAAACGACUGCUAAUACCGCAUAAUGUGCAGAGGAGGCAUCUCUUCUGCAUCAAAGAUUUAUCGCUUCAGGAUGGGCUCAUGUCUGAUUAGCUAGUUGGUGAGGUAAUGGCUCACCCAAGGCUGCGAUCAGUAGCCGGACUGAGAGGUCGAACGGCCACAUUGGGACUGAGAUACGGCCCAGACUCCUACGGGAGGCAGCAGUGGGGAAUAUUGGGCAAUGGGCGAAAGCCCUGACCCAGCAACGCCGCGUGAAGGAAGAAGGCCUUCGGGUUGUAAACUUCUUUUAUGAGGGACGAAGGACGUGACUGUACCUCAUGAAUAAGCCACGGCUAACUACGUGCCAGCAGCCGC